rnacentral:rRNA from 1 species
ACUCCUACGGGAGGCAGCAGUGAGGAAUAUUGGACAAUGGGCGGGAGCCUGAUCCAGCCAUGCCGCGUGCAGGAAGACUGCCCUAUGGGUUGUAAACUGCUUUUGUACAGGGAAGAAACGACUUCCCCAUCGUGAGGGGAGCUUUGUACGGGUACUGUAAAGAAUAAGGAUCGGCUAACGUCCGUGCCAGCAGCCGCGGUAAUACGGAGGGAUCCAAGCGUUAUCCGGAAUCAUUGGGUUUAAAAGGGUCCGUAGGUGGAUGAUUAAGUCAGAGGUGAAAUCCUGCA